rnacentral:misc_RNA from 1 species
GUGAAUCAUCGAAUCUUUGAACGCAAAUUGCACUCUCCGGUUUUCCGGGAGAGUAUGCCUGUUUGAGGGUCUGUUUAAAAAAUAAUCGAGGCUGCUGCUGUGGCGGCGCUUCGGAAUUGGGCCAUCUUCUACCUUUCGGGGUUGUAAGCGACUUAAAACUUUUUUUACGAGUUCUAUGAACGUGUUC